CAAAGACUGAGAUAUCUGUAGUGUCCAUAUUUAUAUAUCUAGUGCUUUAAAGUAGUUACUGUACAUAGACCUGAAAUAUUGUUUCCUCUUUUAGACAAAGCAUUUGGUGUGUGCACAAUUGUUGGUAAGUACAGAAAUAAACUGUGACUGUUUACGGUGUUCAUUUGUAAUUAACUUGCUAACUGAGCAUAGCAGACAACAAAAUGAGAACUAGCACAUGACACAGAGACAUGUUUUAAUGCACAUCUGUGUUUUAUGUGACUUUGUAAUAAAUCAGAGAGUUUAAUAAAUGUAGAGAUGAUUUAUAUUAAGUUUCUGAAAUGAAUCUAAACACAGCUCUCUCUCCCUUCCUCGGUUUGCCGGUGCAUCACUGUGUUAGUGACUCCAGAAUAACUGACUCCUGCUCCCGUGGACUCCAGGCCAACUCUGACCCCUGCUCCCGUGGACUCCAGGCCAACUCUGAUCGUAAGUUAAUACAAACUCACACUGUUACAAGCAGCACACAGUUUUGUUCUUGAUUGCAAUCUAGAAUGAUCUCUCCAUCCAGUAUCAAUUUUCAUUACAUACAGUAAAUUAUCCACCAUGAUAACCGUAAGUAUUAAAAGGAUUGAGCAGCAAAAUGUUUGAUUUAUGAAAAAAGUUUUGUUUCACACCACAAUAGGAAAUGCACAUGAGUAUGAGAUGAUUGCUUAAAUAUUGUCAUAUCAAAUUAUUCAAAGCCUAGACUUUGAAUAAAGAUUGACAUUGUA
rnacentral:lncRNA from 1 species